rnacentral:lncRNA from 1 species
GCGCAGGUGUCGCUCAUUAUCAUCAAACUCCACCGGCCUCGCUCCGCUCUCUGCCACUCGUCACAAAGCAUGAUUACUUAAAUCAAUUAUGGUUUUCUUGACUCCCAUGGCAAAAGCUGUUGGAGACACCCAGCAUAGAAAUAUUCCUAAUUCUGCUUUGCUGAGUAUGAGUCCACACGCACAAAGAUACAGCAAAAGAGCUACCAGACAUCAACAAAUCUCAUUUCAGAUUGUCCAGAUAAUGAUUGGAGUGACUGUCUUCUUACUUGGGGUUGUACUUACUUGGCGUCUCACCAUCAGUGACUAUUAUCCCAAAUUUGUUGUCAAUAGUGGCAUCACCUACUGGGGAUCUUUCAUUGUAAGUAAGUUUUGCUUUAUUUCCCUU